UAUGUGAUCGUCUCUCGCAUAUCAAUAAGCGGAGGAAAAGAAACUAACAAGGAUUCCCCUAGUAACGGCGAGUGAAGCGGGAAGAGCUCAAAUUUGAAAUCUUAAAGGGUUUCCCUUUACGAAUUGUAGUUUAAAGAAGUGUUUUCUGUUGAGGUUUUGGUAAAAGUUCUUUGGAAUAGGACAUCAUAGAGGGUGAGAAUCCCGUAUUUGACCUUUACUUUCAACUUUGUGAUACACUUUCAAAGAGUCGGAUUGUUUGGGAAUGCAGUCCAAAAUGGGUGGUAAAUUUCAUCUAAAGCUAAAUAUUGGCGAGAGACCGAUAGCGAACAAGUACCGUGAGGGGAAAGAUGAAAAGAACUUUGAAAAGAGAGUUAAACAGUACGUGAAAUUGUCAAAAGGGAAGCGUUUGACACCAGUGUUGUUUUUCUGAAAAUCAAUUAAAGAACUGUUUAUGCUAAGCUGUUUAGACUUUAUCAGCUAUCUGCUUAGUUUUGAGCUUUUCUUUAAUGCACUUUUCAGUUAACAAGUCAACAUCAAUUUCUUUUGCUGUAAAAAAGCUUGAGGAAGGUGGCUUGAGAUUCGUCUUAAGUGUUUAUAGCCUCUUGCCUAUGCAGUCGGAGAGAUUGAGGUCUGCAGCGUAGAUCCUUCGGGGCUAAAUGCAUUUGUGCUAAGUUAUAGCAUUUUAUAGACAACUUGUUGACUAUGAUUUGUCUUGUAGCUUACUCGCUUAUGUUAUUUUACCUACGCUUAGGAUGUUGAAGUCAUCGUAUCGCGC
rnacentral:rRNA from 1 species